rnacentral:rRNA from 1 species
UACGGAAGGCAGCAGUGGGGAAUAUUGCACAAUGGGCGCAAGCCUGAUGCAGCCAUGCCGCGUGUAUGAAAAAGGCCUUCGGGUUGUAAAGUACUUUCAGUCGUGAGGAAGGUGUUAAGGUUAAUAACCUUAGCAAUUGACGUUAGCGACAGAAGAAGCACCGGCUAACUCCGUGCCAGCAGCCGCGGUAAUACGGAGGGUGCGAGCGUUAAUCGGAAUUACUGGGCGUAAAGGGCACGCAGGCGGUUAAUUAAGUUGGAUGUGAAAUCCCCGGGCUUAACCUGGGAAUGGCAUUCAAGACUGGUUAGCUAGAGUCUUGUAGAGGGGGGUAGAAUUCCAUGUGUAGCGGUGAAAUGCGUAGAGAUGUGGAGGAAUACCGGUGGCGAAGGCGGCCCCUGGGACAAAGCUGACGCUCAUGCGCGAAAGCGUGGGGAGCAAACGAGGGAUUAGAUACC